UCCCAAGGGGGAAGCUGACCGUAGUGAUAUUCAGCAAUGAGGUAUGUAGCACUUUUUCUAGGAUGAGUUCACGAACUUAAUGGUCCGAACUUCGUACAUGUUUCUUUGAGAGAUCUGAGUAAAUGGAGCUCCUCUCAGUACCUGGGCAUGGAGACUGGUGAGCAAAACUGGAUGGUAAUACAAAACUCACUUGAAGCCAGGCACGGGUUCAACCAGCUCCAAUGUGGGGCGGUCCCACAUAUGUGGCACCAACUACACUUAGUACCGAUGAUGUUGGAAAGCGGUGUCCCCGGGCUCUCCUUUUGACUGUUAGUUAGCCCGCUGGGACCAGGUCAAGUGUUUGUGUGUCACGCUGCGCUUCUUAAAGUCCCACUGUAAUGCUUCUCGAUCAAUCUCCUUGCAGGCCUACUGCUUGCGUGUGGUGGACAUUUUGAUUAUCCCCAGAUGUGGUUAUAUUUCAUUUCUAGUUUAUGGCAUAGUAAUAAUUUACACGUUACAGGGAUUCCUGGAGAGAGAGGCAUUUUCAGAGUACAAGGGAGCCAUACUUGGUUCAUAGGAGAUGUUUGCCUGACUUGAGGAGCCUAUGGGUUCUACCACACUGAAGUGCUCAGAUGCGUGAAACAAUAAUGCCAACCUUGAAUGGACCAUCCUACAGCAAUCCUGUCUGUCUCUUUGUGUUUUCACAGUUUCCUCUAUAAUUGCUGGGGGUGCUUUUCCCCUGCAAAAGCCCAGGACCUUGAUUUUGAGGAGAGAGCGAAGGUCUGUGUACCUCAAAAGGUAAAGAAGACCAAGCAUUGUGUGUCCAUGCUUCUCUUGGGGCCACCUACAGGCGUUCUGGAACCCUCUGCAGUGACACAGUAGAGCUGCCCCACAGGUUGCCCUUUGCCUCGAGCAACAGAAGAGAUUCAUCUACAUGAGAACCAUUUAUUGGUGAUUAAAUAAAGGAAACAUGAUGCUACCUUCUAAGAGGAAAACUCUGUGGUCUUGAGUAGUUUAUAAUACUAGAGGAAGACAGGGAUCAAUCAAUGGCAGAAGGCCUAUCGUAUGAGGUCUAACAAUUAAGUUGGCGAACUUGUUGCAAUGAUGUCACUUACCUUUUUUGAUAUCAGAGGGAUUAUUCAUUAUGCAUUUGUACCAACUG